UACGAAGGGGACUAGCGUUGUUCGGAAUCACUGGGCGUAAAGCGCACGUAGGCGGAUGUGUCAGUCAGGGUGAAAUCCCGGGGCUCAACCUCGGAACUGCCUUUGAUACAGCACGUCUCGAGUCCGGAAGAGGUGGGUGGAAUUCCUAGUGUAGAGGUGAAAUUCGUAGAUAUUAGGAAGAACACCGGUGGCGAAGGCGGCCCACUGGUCCGGUACUGACGCUGAGGUGCGAAAGCGUGGGAGCAAACAGG
rnacentral:rRNA from 1 species